AAUUCAUUAUUGAUCUCUAAUUAAAUCCAAGAUAUGAAGAAACAUAAAACAAAUUGGAAGAAACAUCACAAAAUUACAAUUCACUGUUUUACACAAUAUUGCAAAUCAAUAUAUUAGAUCCCGAAAUCAACCAUAAAACGAAGUCGCGGUUUUACGGGAAGCAACGUCGAAACGAGACGAACUGUACUUUGGGGCAGGUUUACAAAUACGUGGAUCAAUUCCAGGUUUAUCGUUCGGCAGCGGCGAUUGGUCGAUUCUCGAUGGUUCAGUUCUACAUAUAAAACGUAGUUACGCGUACAAAUACGCGCAUACAUACGUGUAGAAUCGUAUAUAAACGUAUAUCAUAUAUACAUAAUGAACAUGGAUUCUAUACCCGGGUGUGUGUAUACCGCCAUAAUAAUUCAGUCUCGAACGUCGCUCUCUCCGCAGUGACCGCAACCUGCAAAGCUGACGAAACACGAGCAAAUCAACUGUCGCAGCUAUUUUCUGCCUAGUUACGUAAAUUAAUAUUAGAAACGAUACUGAAAUUAUUGUUUCAUCGAGACGGAUGCGGUGCGCACCGCGAUCCUGAGCCUAUCAACGUGACAACCGUGUUUCGACGGAUAUUGUGGAUUUUAGGUUAUGGAAAGGGUAAUGAUUUGUUGGAUAUUUGAUAAUGAUUGUUUGGGACAGGAUUAAGUGCUAUUGAAACGAUGUUUCAUUCAAUUGAUUACAUAAUCGAUUACAAUAAGAUAGUUUUUGCAUUUGGUAUUUGUUAUAAUUAGUUCAGAUACUUUUAUCGAAAGCAUGUCGUCGAAUAAAAAAUCAUUUUUCCACAUAGACUGUGUCACAUAAUAAUCACUUUUGGCCAAUGUGUGAUUGCGAUUACAACCUUUAAAUUAGAAAUUCGCCGCGAACGAGAAUUUCACGACCGUUGUGAACUCUACUACACAUGUGUACUACACGCACCGCCGACGGUACUAGCUGUGGCAACGAUGGAAAACGGUGAUCGCAACAGCGGCACGCAAAGUGAGCCGACAAAGGCGUCUUAUCGCGGUUAAUUUAUAUUUCAAAAGGUUACUGGUACCAUCGAAAGAACGUAGAAACUCUCUCGGCGCUAUUCCACAAGAAAUUCUAUCUGUCGAAAGAUUUAUCAAUGCAUCCAAGAUGAUUUCGAGAAUUUUUCUUAUUAUUAAUUUUUCUUUUCGCCGUAAUCUAUACAAAAUGGCGGAUACUGAAACUGUGUAAGCGCGGGUAAUUUGAUUUUUAUAGGAGUGUUCAACAAGUUUCAAUAAGUUUAUGAAACUUUUUAAGCAGAUCCAAUCUCGACGUUCAAUUCCAUCGAACACAAAAUAUCACGGUGAAAACAUGGUGCAACGUAUUAACGUUCUUGGGUUAAUCGAUCUUGGUGGAAGAUCGAGGCAAUUAACGCCAGUAUCGCCAGUCGAUGAUGAACAUUCGUCAUCCGAAGACCGGUUUCUAUCGGAUGAUUCACCAUCGUGGAUUCUAUAAAAUCUCGCCAACAAUGUUUCCCGUCGUGGAUUUUCUUUUGCUUUUACCACGUACAUGAUCUUUUUUUCUUUUUUUUCUUUUUUUUAUCAUUUUUAUAAAUCCUUAUCGUGUUUUCAUUUAAAAUUCAAACAAAGUAGAUAUUAUCGAAUAACAUAGCUUCCAGGAAGGAGUUUGAAAAAUGUUCGAAACGGUUCUCCGGAUUCUUCGUCGCGGUAUUACGUUCGUAAUAAUUAUUCGAAGUCGGACGGCAUCUUGGUGGUAAUAACCAGGUCCGCUAAUAGCUAUUUGAAAUUGAAAUAAGAUGUAACGAUUCGUGGUAAUUUUAUUUGGCAUUUCUAUUGAAACGGGAUUAUAUAGAGAAAGAUAUCAAUUUCAAGAUCGAAUUUUAUCGUUAAAUUGCAAAUUAAAAAUUUUAUAAAAUAUAUAUAAAUAACGUUAUAUAAUAUUGAAUAUUUAAUAAUUAGAAUUUUAUAUAAAUUCUGAAUUUAUUAUAUAACAUAUCAAAUCGACUUAGGUUAGAUAGAACUUGUGUUAAACUGAAAUAAGAUGCAUAACGAAUCUUGGUAAUUUUAUUUAUAUCUCUUAUCGGGGAUGAGAUUAUACAAAAAGAGAUACAGAUUUCAAGUCAAUUUUAUUAUUAAAUUGUAAAUUAAAAAAUUGACACGAUACUUGGAACGUUAUGUAUUACAAACUUUACGUUUAUCAAGUUAAGGUUUUAGGUUAUGUUAUUACAAUUUAAUCAAGCCUCAAGUGUCGAAGGAUGACCGAAUGCUCGUUAUUGGUAACCUAAGCGAUCCGCCGCUCCGCCAUUUUCCCAAUCAACAAUCGAGAUCAACCUCGAAGCCUUCUUCUAACCUCGAACAUCGAUCAAUUCUCGUCAAGUGUUCCUCCUCGCAAAAGGGAGCGUGGCACGACUUUUACAAAGUAGGGAGUAAGUUCCACCACACGCGGAUACACUCUCUACCACGACACUAUUCAAUUUCUCAUUCAGGAUAUCAUGCAUCAUCUCUUUUGAGCUUAAAAAUUAUCUCUUCGAUCUUCCAGGAUUUCCGUGGCAUGGCGUCUUGCACAAUCUUCACGAAUCGUCAUAAAUCAUGUCGACGGAUUGCGUGGGCGGCUAUGGAACACGCUCUAACCCCUUUCCAACUGAUGCAUAGUAACAUUUUACAGGAUUUUUACGCACCGUUCACAAUUCAUCCGUUAAUGACACCGACAUUGACGAGUCAUCAAUUUGACUGUGUAACAAGAAAUGGAAGAUUCGCGAAUUCAGUAGAAUCAAAGAAAUGUAUUAAGUAUGUGAUUACAAAAAAAAAGGCGAACUCACUCAUUAUGUACACGCAAUCUGGCAUUCCGUGUGUCGAACGUAUAAAGAGCGCCUCUUAAAAGUGUGUUCAGUAUGGACGAAAAAUCUGCUUGAUAAAAUGGACUUACCUGAAACAAAGGAGAAAAAAAACCAUUUAAAAAUAUUACUAAAACAUAAAUAUUUAAUAUAUAUAUAUUCUUUCCUCAGAGCAACAAUUCUUCGAUUGUUGAUAAAAUAAUGUCAUAGUUCGAAUGCGGAUGUAUUGCAUUGUCGAUCGUUUGUGAACGAAAUUCCUGUGUCUCACCUACGAGGCUUACUUAAUGAAAGAAAGCAUCGACUCUAUGCGGACGUAGCACACGCCUUUUCGUUAUUUCUCAUAAUCGCCCACGCUUGGCCGCCUGCCAGCCAAAGAGACCCUGGUUUCCCGAGAAUCGAAAAUAAUCACGUCUUCUUCCUCCUCCGCCUUUUCCUCUUCCUUUCGUACGCGCGAAUCCGUCCGAGGAAAGCGGGAAAGCUAAUUUAAUUAACGAUCCAUUUCGCCACUCUCUUGUCCUCGGAUUAUUUUCACGCCUUUGAAAAUAAUUAAAUUUACGACGAGAAAGUACGAGCUUCUUCUGAACGAUAGUAUUUCAAGAAACACUGACACAGGAUUGAUCGUAAAAAAAAAUGAUUAGAUCACCGGGUUUACUUUGGAAUUGGUGAACGAAGUCGAAUCGAUCGAUUCAAUUUUUUUCGUAUUUGCAAUUGAAUUGCGUAAUUUCGAAAUUAAAAUAUUCAUAGAUAUAUUACGUUUGAAUUUUUUUUUUUUAAAAUUAACAAGCACGGUGAACAUAUAUGAUUUAUACGUUAGAUAUUAUCUCUUUUUAUUAGUUUUUUCAAUAUGUGAUAACAGUCAACAGGAAAUGAAACAGGAAAGAAAAAAAACGAAGAUCUUAUCGUAGCGUGAAAUAACGUAUCGUAGUAUACGAUCAUAAAUGCUUAUUAUCUAGUAAAAAGUAUACGAGGGAUAAGAACGGUCAAUUACAUGAAACCGUAAUUAACAUAUUAACGAAUCGAUUUGAACUUAAUGAUAUAUUUAUUUUCUGAUACAAAAUGUCAAUAUAUAUAUUCGUAUAGAAUAAUUUUGCAUAGUUGAUUCUAAAACAAACGCAACGGUUAACGUACAAAAAUAUCGUUUAUAAGACGUAUUUUUAUCGAGCAAUUUAAAUUUACAUUAUAGACGAGACGAAAGAAAAUAGUAAUCAAUACCAUCUUAAUUUCUUUAAUCUCUUUAAUGACAAUUACAAAUAAAAUUGUUAAAAUUCGCUAAAUAAUUAUUUUCGUUAUUAUUGUAAACUGUACUAUCACGAUAAUUCGUAAACUCGGUUGAUCUUAAUUAAGAUCAAUGAUAAAUUUCAUUCCAAACAAGCUUGUCUAUCGAUCGAUCUAUCUAUCAUAAAAAUUUUCCAUCGACGACACUAACUAAAUUUGGUGCGCACAAUGUAUCUGCACAUGUAUCAACAGACGUGCGCCGCGAUGCAAAUUUGCAUCUGGUUGCGCAACCGCUCGCGCUCUCGGACAUGGUCGCAAAAAUACAGUCAUACUAUAUCGAUCGAUGUGUAAUCGAUGAAUCUAAUAAUGGCCUGGGCCGCUAUUAUUCAAGAUCGACGCCUGUGUAGCAUGUAGCGGUCAGAAUCCACUCGUGAAAUCAACGCGGUUGAGAAAAGAUAUAUUUCCCCCUUUACAAACUGGCGGAACGUUUCGUGGUAGGUGGUAGGCGGCCGAGCGAGCGUGGGCCUCGGUGGCCUCUCCACCGCGAUUUAAAUAUUUAACUCCGCUGAACGUGAGCGAGAGCCAACCGUUACUCGCGCGAGCGAUAAUUUUCAUUCGCGGGUAAACUCGCUUGGGAAAAUCGACCGACCGCGUGAAUCAUCCUCCCACCUGAUUUCCAACUGCUAGCCGAUGAUGAGAACCAAUGGGAAAAUCUCAUUGGCACUCUUCGGUUUUGCAUUUGUUAGGUUAGGUAAUACUAGUUUCUCUGCCUAUUUAAUUGGAAUCUUAUUUUUUUUUAUUUGUGCAGUGAUUAGAUAAUCAUUUACCUUGUUGUUAUUACAUUAUCGUUACGAACAGUAAUAGAUAAAGUGUCGAAAGCCAAAUUUGUAAUACUAUGGCCUAAAUGGCUGUAAAUUAAGAAGUAGGAAAAGAAGAUCGCAUUUCCAAUUUACCGACGGUAACGAAGAGAGUCGAGAAUCGUACGUCGUAACUCAAAGUAAAGAUGUACGUAAACGAUUUGCGAAAUGCGAAAAUGCACAGAUACAUUGCAAACUAAACUAAACUGAUAUAAAUAAAGAUGUUACAUUCGAAGAUGAAUUUUACGAUCGAAAA
rnacentral:lncRNA from 1 species